rnacentral:rRNA from 1 species
UACGUAGGGUGCAAGCGUUAAUCGGAAUUACUGGGCGUAAAGCGCGCGCAGGCGGUCCUUUAAGUCUGAAUGUGAAAGCCCGACGGCUCAACCGUGGAGGGUCAUUGGAAACUGGGGGACUUGAGUACAGAAGAGGAAGCGGAAUUCCACGUGUAGCGGUGAAAUGCGUAGAGAUGAUGGAGGAACACCAGUGGCGAAGGCGGCUUUCUGGUCUGUAACUGACGCUGAGGCGCGAAAGCGUGGGGGCGAAACAGG